GACCAACCCUUGACAUCCUCGGACCGCCAGAGAGAUUUGGCUUUCACUUCGGUGACCGAGUGACAGGUGCUGCAUGGCUGUCGUCAGCUCGUGUCGUGAGAUGUUCGGUUAAGUCCGGCAACGAGCGCAACCCACAUCCUUAGUUGCCAGCAGUUCGGCUGGGCACUCUAAGGAAACUGCCCGUGAUAAGCGGGAGGAAGGUGUGGAUGACGUCAAGUCCUCAUGGCCCUUACGGGUUGGGCUACACACGUGCUACAAUGGCAGUGACAAUGGGUUAAUCCCAAAAAACUGUCUCAGUUCGGAUUGGGGUCUGCAACUCGACCCCAUGAAGUCGGAAUCGCUAGUAAUCGCGUAACAGC
rnacentral:rRNA from 1 species